rnacentral:rRNA from 1 species
GAUGAACGCUGGCGGCGUGCCUAAUACAUGCAAGUCGAGCGAACAGAUGAGGAGCUUGCUCCUCUGACGUUAGCGGCGGACGGGUGAGUAACACGUGGAUAACCUACCUAUAAGACUGGGAUAACUUCGGGAAACCGGAGCUAAUACCGGAUAAUAUAUUGAACCGCAUGGUUCAAUAGUGAAAGACGGUUUUGCUGUCACUUAUAGAUGGAUCCGCGCCGCAUUAGCUAGUUGGUAAGGUAACGGCUUACCAAGGCAACGAUGCGUAGCCGACCUGAGAGGGUGAACGGCCAGAUGGGAACUGAGGCACGGUCCAGACUCCUACGGGAGGCAGCAGUAGGGAAUCUUCCGCGAUGGGCGAAAGCCUGACGGAGCAACGCCGCGUGAGUGAUGAAGGUCUUCGGAUCGGAAAACUCUGUUAUUAGGGAAGAACAAAUGUGUAAGUAACUAUGCACGUCUUGACGGUACCUAAUCAGAAAGCCACGGCUAACUACGUG